rnacentral:rRNA from 1 species
GACGAACGCUGGCGGCGUGCCUAAUACAUGCAAGUUGAGCGCUGAAGGUUGGUACUUGUACCAACUGGAUGAGCAGCGAACGGGUGAGUAACGCGUGGGGAAUCCGCCUUUGAGCGGGGGACAACAUUUGGAAACGAAUGCUAAUACCGUAUAAAAACUUUAAACACAAGUUUUAAGUUUGAAAGAUGCAAUUGCAUCACUCAAAGAUGAUCCCGCGUUGUAUUAGCUAGUUGGUGAGGUAAAGGCUCACCAAGGCGAUGAUACAUAGCCGACCUGAGAGGGUGAUCGGCCACAUUGGGACUGAGACACGGCCCAAACUCCUACGGGAGGCAGCAGUAGGGAAUCUUCGGCAAUGGACGAAAGUCUGACCGAGCAACGCCGCGUGAGUGAAGAAGGUUUUCGGAUCGUAAAACUCUGUUGGUAGAGAAGAACGUUGGUGAGAGUGGAAAGCUCAUCAAGUGACGGUAACUACCCAGAAAGGGACGGCUAACUACGUG